GGUUUCAUAGUGUAAUGGUCAUCACAUCUGCUUUACAUGCAGAAGAUCCUGGGUUCAAUCUCCAGUUAAACCA